GACGAACGCUGGCGGCGUGCUUAACACAUGCAAGUCGAACGGAAAGGCCCUGCUUUUGUGGGGUGCUCGAGUGGCGAACGGGUGAGUAACACGUGAGUAACCUGCCCUUGACUUUGGGAUAACUUCAGGAAACUGGGGCUAAUACCGGAUAGGAGCUCCUGCUGCAAGGUGGGGGUUGGAAAGUUUCGGCGGUUGGGGAUGGACUCGCGGCUUAUCAGCUUGUUGGUGGGGUAGUGGCUUACCAAGGCUUUGACGGGUAGCCGGCCUGAGAGGGUGACCGGGCACAUUGGGACUGAGAUACGGACCAGACUCCUACGGGAGGCAGCAGUGGGGAAUAUUGCACAAUGGGCGGAAGCCUGAUGCAGCAACGCCGCGUGCGGGAUGACGGCCUUCGGGUUGUAAACCGCUUUCGCCUGUGACGAAGCGUGAGUGACGGUAAUGGGUAAAGAAGCACCGGCUAACUACGUG
rnacentral:rRNA from 1 species